rnacentral:rRNA from 1 species
GAUGAACGCUGGCGGCGUGCCUAAUACAUGCAAGUCGAGCGAACGGACGAGAAGCUUGCUUCUCUGAUGUUAGCGGCGGACGGGUGAGUAACAUGUGGAUAACCUACCUAUAAGACUGGGAUAACUUCGGGAAACCGGAGCUAAUACCGGAUAAUAUUUUGAACCGCAUGGUUCAAAAGUGAAAGACGGUCUUGCUGUCACUUAUAGAUGGAUCCGCGCUGCAUUAGCUAGUUGGUAAGGUAACGGCUUACCAAGGCAACGAUGCAUAGCCACCUGAGAGGGUGAUCGGCCACACUGGAACUGAGACACGGUCCAGACUCCUACGGGAGGCAGCAGUAGGGAAUCUUCCGCAAUGGGCGAAAGCCUGACGGAGCAACGCCGCGUGAGUGAUGAAGGUCUUCGGAUCGUAAAACUCUGUUAUUAGGGAAGAACAUAUGUGUAAGUAACUGUGCACAUCUUGACGGUACCUAACCAGAAAGCCACGGCUAACUACGUG